rnacentral:piRNA from 1 species
UCCACAUCUAUUGCUUCUAUGUCUACGGU